GGUCGGGAGCUGCCCGCGAGGGGGAGCGACCGGACGGAGAGCGCGACCCGUCUGGGGGUGGGAUCGGGCGUAGCGGCAAGAGAAGGCGAAGGUGGCUGCAGGCGGCGCGGAAGUAGCAGCGCGUCAGGCUCGGACCCGGACCGGAGCGCAUGGCGGCCGCGGGGCAGCUGUGGCUGCUUUACCUGUCCGCGGGGCUCCUUUCCCGGCUUGGCGCCGCCUUCAACUUGGACACUCGCGAGGAGAAUGUGAUCCAGAAACUCGGGGAGCCUGGGAGCCUCUUCGGCUUCUCACUGGCCAUGCACUGGCAGCUGCAGCCCGAGGACAAGCGGCUGUUGCUAGUGGGGGCCCCUAAGGCCAAAGCCCUUCCGCUGCAGAGGGCCAACCGGACGGGAGGCUUGUACAGCUGUGACAUCACCUCCCAGGGGCCGUGCACAAGGAUUGAAUUUGAUAACAAUGCUGAUCCUUCAUUGGAAAGCAAGGAAGAUCAAUGGAUGGGCGUCACGGUCCAGAGCCAGGGCCCAGGGGGCAAAGUCGUGACAUGUGCUCACCGAUAUGAAAAAAGGCAACAUGUUAAUACGAAGCAGGAAUCCCGAGACAUCUUUGGGAGGUGUUACGUCCUCAGUCAGAAUCUCAGGAUUGAAGAUGAUAUGGAUGGAGGAGAUUGGAGCUUUUGUGAUGGUCGUUUGAGAGGCCAUGAGAAAUUCGGUUCUUGCCAGCAAGGUGUAGCAGCUACUUUUACUAAAGACUUUCAUUACAUUGUGUUUGGAGCCCCGGGUACUUACAACUGGAAAGGGAUUGUUCGCGUAGAGCAAAAGAAUAACUCUUUUUUUGACAUGAACAUCUUUGAAGAUGGGCCUUAUGAAGUUGGUGGAGAGAGUAACCAUGACGAAAGUCUAGUUCCUGUUCCUGCCAACAGUUAUUUAGGCUUUUCUUUGGACUCAGGGAAAGGUAUUGUUUCUAAAGAUGAGAUCACGUUUGUAUCUGGUGCUCCGAGAGCCAACCACAGCGGAGCUGUGGUUCUGCUAAAAAGGGACAUGAAGUCUACACUUCUUCUACCUGAGCACAUAUUUGAUGGGGAAGGUCUGGCCUCUUCGUUUGGCUAUGAUGUGGCAGUGGUGGACCUCAACAAAGAUGGGUGGCAAGAUAUAGUUAUUGGAGCCCCGCAGUAUUUUGAUAGAGAUGGAGAAGUUGGAGGUGCAGUGUAUGUCUACAUUAACCAGCAAGGCAGGUGGAGUAAUGUCAAGCCAAUUCGUCUUAAUGGAACCAAAGAUUCUAUGUUUGGCAUUGCAGUCAAAAAUAUUGGCGAUAUUAAUCAAGAUGGCUAUCCAGAUAUUGCUGUUGGAGCUCCCUAUGAUGAUAACGGAAAGGUUUUUAUCUAUCAUGGGUCCGCGAAUGGAGUAAAUACCAAACCAACACAGGUUCUCGAGGGCAAAUCACCUUAUUUUGGAUAUUCAAUUGCUGGAAAUAUGGACCUUGAUAGAAAUUCCUACCCUGAUGUUGCUGUUGGUUCCCUCUCAGAUUCAGUAACUGUUUUCAGAUCCCGUCCUGUGAUUAACGUUCAGAAAACCAUCACAGUAACACCUGACAAAAUUGAUCUCAGCAAGAAAAUGUCGUGUGCAGCGCCUAGUGGGAUAUGCCUCAAGGUUAAGGCCUGCUUUGAAUAUACUGCUAAACCCACUGGUUAUAAUCCUUCAAUAGUAAUUGUGGGCACACUUGAAGCUGAAAAGGAAAGAAGGAAAUCUGGGCUAUCGUCAAGAGUUCAGUUUCGAAACCAAGGUUCCGAGCCCAAGUAUACUCGGCAACUCACUCUGAGUAGGCAGAAGCAGAAGGUGUGCAUGGAUGAGACCCUCUGGCUGCAGGAAAAUAUCAGAGAUAAACUGCGUCCUAUUCCCAUAACUGCUUCAGUAGAGAUCCAAGAGUCUAGCUCUCGUAGACGAGUAAAUUCACUUCCAGAAGUUCUUCCAAUUCUGAAUUCGAACGAGCCCAAGACCGUCCAUACAGAUGUACACUUCUUAAAAGAGGGAUGUGGAAAUGACAAUAUAUGUAAUAGCAACCUUAAACUGGAAUAUAAGUUCUGUACCCGAGAAGGAAAUCAAGACAAAUUUUCUUAUUUACCAAUUAGCCAAAAAGGUAUACCAGAACUAGUUCUAAAAGAUCAGAAGGAUAUUGCUUUAGAAAUAACAGUGACAAACAGCCCUUCCAAUCCAAGGAAUCCCACAAACGAUGGUGAUGACGCUCAUGAGGCUAAACUUAUUGCAACGUUUCCGGACACUCUGACUUACUCUGCAUAUAGAGAACUGAGGUCUUUCCCUGAGAAACAGCUGAGUUGUGUUGCCAACCAGAAUGGCUCUCAAGCAGACUGUGAACUUGGAAAUCCUUUUAAAAGAAAUUCCAGUGUGACUUUUUAUUUGAUUUUAAGUACAACGGAGGUCACCUUUGACACCACAGAUCUGGAUAUUAAUCUGAAAUUGGAAACAACAAGCAAUCAAGAUAAUUUGGCUUCAAUUACAGCUAAAGCGAAAGUGGUUAUUGAACUGCUUUUAUCAGUCUCUGGAGUUGCUAAACCUUCUCAGGUGUAUUUUGGAGGUACAGUUGUGGGUGAGCAAGCUAUGAAAUCUGAAGACGAAGUGGGAAGUUUAAUAGAGUAUGAGUUCAGGGUAAUUAACUUAGGCAAGCCUCUUAAAAACCUCGGUACAGCAACCUUGAAUAUUCAGUGGCCAAAAGAAAUCAGCAAUGGCAAAUGGUUGCUUUAUUUGGUGAAAGUGGAAUCCAAAGGAUUGGAAAAAAUAGCUUGUGAGCCACCAAGUGAAAUAAACUUCCUGAAGCUAAAGGAGUCUCACAACUCAAGAAAGAAACGGGAAAUUGCCGAAAAACAGACAGACGAUAGCAGGAAAUUUUCUUUAUUUGCUGAAAGGAAAUAUCAGACCCUUAACUGCAGUGUGAACGUGAACUGUGUGAACAUAAGGUGCCCGUUGCGAGGGCUGGACAGCAAGGCCUCUGUAAUUUUGCACUCAAGGUUAUGGAACAGCACUUUUCUAGAGGAAUAUUCCAAAAUGAACUACUUGGACGUUCUCAUGCGGGCUUCCAUUGAUGUGACUGCUACCGCAGAGAAUAUCAAGCUGCCAAACGCAGGCACUCAGGUUCGUGUGACUGUAUUUCCCUCAAAGACUGCUGCUCAAUAUUCAGGAGUCCCUUGGUGGAUCAUCCUAGUGGCUAUUCUUGCUGGGAUUUUGAUGCUUGGUCUAUUAGUGUUUUUACUAUGGAAGUGUGGCUUCUUUAAACGCUCUAGGUACGAUGAUAGCGUUCCCCGAUACCAUGCGGUAAGGAUCCGUAAAGGAGAGCGAGAGAUCCCAGAUGAAAAAUAUAAUAACGAUAACCUGGAAAAAAAGCAGUGGAUCACAAAGUGGAAUGAAAAUGAAAGCUACUCCUAGGGGAACCAAAAAAGCGCCACAGUACCCAAACUGCCUUUUUUUCCCCUGCUCCCAACACAGAAAUUCAAAUGGAUUUUAAGGCCCUUCAAUACCCAAAUAUUGAUUGCAGACUGACUACACACAGUACGAACAUACAGUUUUAACUGUGGAUAUUGUUACGUAGCCUAAGGCUCUUGUUUUGCACAGCCAAAUUUAAGACUGUUGGAAUGGAUUUUUCUUUCACCGCCUUAAUUUAACUUUCUAGGUUGCCUUUGAUUUAGGUGUGGCUGACUUACACGUGCUGGGGAGGGCAGGGGCCUGCCGGCUUGUGCUCACGUGACAUCCUCUUGAUAACCUUGAUAACGUAGCUGGGGGAAGGCGCCGGUGGUCACCAUCCCAACCUCAGCACUGCUUCUGCAAACGUUCUUCCCUUAGGAUUGGAGAACCUGCAAGUCAACUGGCCCACGUGACAAGACUCUGUUGCCAGGAAAACAGGUUCUGCUGGCUCUGAAAGGCAUCUGAUCCAGCCGUUAGAAGGUGGAAGUGCUACCUAGCAGUGGCUGAGGCCUGGUCCGCGGAGGUGUUCCUAACAGGCAUGGUGAGAAGGCGAGUCAUAAAAGGAUUUGUGGGUAAAUCCUCUAAGGAUAAAUGAACUGUGAAACAAACCAGAGCAAGGAAACUGGUCCAGCACAGUAAGGGUGGACCAGCUGCCACAAAGGGCCAAACUGAGCAGGUAAUGGUUGAUGAUUACACUGGAGUGCGGGUGCAAUCUGUGUAGCAGUCCACAAACUUUAAGUGCCUCAAUCUUUUUGCCCAUGCCCUAGAGCCAGCUCUCGGGCUGGCUGUGCUAGGGUCAUGAAAACGAGCAGAGACAGAGCCAUGUUAGGAGAGGUCAGGUAAAAUUAUACACUAUUCAUCCUUCUAGAACAUCUACCAAAAAUCACAGGAAACUGCAGGGGCAGAUUGUGCUUCUCUUCAUACCUCAAAACCUAGCAACGAAGUAUUCAGUUCACCAAUAACAGCUGAUAGAGUUAAGUGAACCUUCUAUUAAGAUCCUGUUGUUCUGAAGCGGAGAUAUUUAGAUGUGAUUUGAUCAUUUUUUCUCAAUUGAAAGGAAGUGGACACGUUUCUAGGAAUGUUAAAUUGGGUACAAAUAUGUAUAAUAUACAAUAUGCAUACAAAUAAUAUUUGUAUAUACAUACAAAUAAUUUAAAUCAGACCUUUCAAUGGAAAAUUAUCUAAAACAACAGAUGGUACUGACAAACAUAAGUGAAUUCACUUUAUAGGAAAAAAAAAAAAAAGUUGUCAUCGAGUCAAUUCCGACCUAUAGCGACCCUCUAGGACAGAGUAGAACUCCCCCAGAGGGUUUCCAAGGCUGUAAAUCUUUACAGAAACAGACUGCCACAUCUUUCUCCCACAGAGCAGCUGUUGGGUUCGAAAAGCCAACCUUUUGGUUAGCAGCCGAACUCUUAACCACUGUGCCACCAGGGCUCUUUAUGUUAUAUAGAUAGCAGAAUUAGUAACUUUGAAUUAAGACAUCACUGGUUGACAUAUACAGUCAGCAUCUGAUCCUGAGGGUGUAACUUACCCUGGAGCCAAUCCCCAUUCACAGGAAAUUGUGGAGCAGAAGGGCUCAAUCUGGGCUGCACAUUUGGAUCACCUGGGGAACUUUAAAGACGCCUGUUGCCUAGGCUAACACCAGACUAAUUACAUCAGAAUCUCAGAGGGUGAGACCCAAGCAUAGUACUGUUUAAGUGUAGCCAAGGUUGAGAACAACUGCUUUAGGGGCCCUUGGAUGGCCUGGAGCUUUAUCAAAAGGGCUGUACCCACUGUCUAGAAAUUCCUCGUUUCUGCUUGUGGUACUUUCACUGCACCAUUAACAAGAGCUGAAAAGCUAGAGGUAUAUUUAUGAUAAAUAGGAAGGCAGUCUAGCAGGCUGCUUAAGAAUAUGGCUCUGGAGUAGGACUUCUGAGGUGUGAAUUAGCUUCACCUUUUUGAAUAUAUACUUGGGUGAGUUACUGACACUUCUGUGCCUCACUUUUUCAUCUGUAAAAUGGGAUUGAUGGUAAUUCCCAUCUCAUAGAUUCUUGUAAGCAAUAAAAGACAGUCUGGAAGUGCUCAAUAAAUGUUAGCUAUUUUUAUUAUACUUGUUUAUUAUACAGUCAUAAAAUGUUAAGAUAGGAGGGCACUAUGGAAAUCUAGUUCUACGUCCUCGAUUUCACAGAUGGGGAAACAUGGUUUAUUUCAGUUGUGACUGGAACCUUUUGUCUCCACACUCUCCAAUGUCUACCAACCCAUGACUUACUAAUGAGUAUUACAGCUACAAUCUAUAAGCCUAAGUAUCCUUCACUAGCUAAAAAAUACCGUGAACCUAACUCAGAUUUAAACUGCUUAUCAGCAUAGGUCAUUUUGCAGAAAAACAAGAUUGACCUUUGUUCCAUGUUAAACUCUGACUUAGCCCUUCAUGCAAUGACCAAAAAUGUAAGUUUAGGUCGGGAUCAGGAUCCAGCUCAGAAAGUCAGUGUGUUAAGAGAAUCAAGUAGGCAUCCAAAAAUUGCUAUGUACUGAUUCCUCUUGGUAUUUUUUUUUGAAAUAAAGAAAUGUAAAAAGGA